rnacentral:miRNA from 1 species
UGGACGGAGAACUGAUAAGGGA